GGAUCCGUGGCGCAAUGGUAGCGCGCGUCUGACUCCAGAUCAGAAGGUUGCGUGUUCGAUUCACGUCGGGUUCA
rnacentral:tRNA from 1 species